CUCCGGUUGAUCCUGCCGGACCCGACUGCUAUCAGAGUGGGACUAAGCCAUGCGAGUCAACAUAGCAAUAUGUGGCAUACGGCUCAGUAACACGUAGUCAACAUGCCCAGGGGACGUGGAUAACCUCGGGAAACUGAGGAUAAACCGCGAUAGGUCAUCACUUCUGGAAUGGGUAAUGACUUAAAUCUAUAUGGCCCCUGGAUUGGACUGCGGCCGAUCAGGCUGUUGGUGAGGUAAUGGCCCACCAAACCUGUAACCGGUACGGGCUCUGAGAGGAGGAGCCCGGAGAUGGGCACUGAGACAAGGGCCCAGGCCCUAUGGGGCGCAGCAGGCGCGAAACCUCUGCAAUAGGCGAAAGCUUGACAGGGUUACUCUGAGUGAUUUCCGUUAAGGAGAUCUUUUGGCACCUCUAAAGAUGGUGCAGAAUAAGGGGUGGGCAAGUCUGGUGUCAGCCGCCGCGGUAAUACCAGCACCCCGAGUGGUCGGGACGUUUAUUGGGCCUAAAGCAUCCGUAGCCGGUUCUACAAGUCUUCCGUUAAAUCCACCUGCUUAACAGAUGGGCUGCGGAAGAUACUAUAGAGCUAGGAGGCGGGAGAGGCAAGCGGUACUCGAUGGGUAGGGGUAAAAUCCGUUGAUCCAUUGAAGACCACCAGUGGCGAAGGCGGCUUGCCAGAACGCGCUCGACGGUGAGGGAUGAAAGCUGGGGGAGCAAGCCGGAUUAGAUACCCGGGUAGUCCCAGCUGUGAACGAUGCAGACUCGGUGAUGAGUUGGCUUAUUGCUAACUCAGUGCCGCAGGGAAGCCGUUAAGUUUGCCGCCUGGGGAGUACGGUCGCAAGACUGAAACUUAAAGGAAUGGCGGGGGAGCA
rnacentral:rRNA from 1 species